rnacentral:rRNA from 1 species
CGCUGGCGGCGUGCUUAACACAUGCAAGUCGAACGGGCGAUUGAAAGCUUGCUUUGAUGAGCCUAGUGGCAAACGGGUGAGUAACGCGUAGGCAACCUGCCCUCAGGAUGGGGACAACGGCCCGAAAGGACCGCUAAUACCGAAUGAUGUAUCGGGAUCGCAUGAUACUGAUACCAGAGGCGGAGCAAUCCGUCACCUGAGGAUGGGCCUGCGUCUGAUUAGGUAGUUGGUGAGGUAACGGCCCACCAAGCCGACGAUCAGUAGCCGGUCUGAGAGGAUGAACGGCCACAUUGGGACUGAGACACGGCCCAGACUCCUACGGGAGGCAGCAGUGGGGAAUCUUCCGCAAUGGGCGAAAGCCUGACGGAGCAACGCCGCGUGAGUGAAGAAAGGUCUUCGGAUCGUAAAGCUCUGUUGUCGGGGACGAAGGGGCAGAUCAGGAAAUGGGUCUGCUUAGACGGUACCUGACGAGGAAGCCACGGCUAACUACGUGCCAGCCGCAGC